GACGAACGCUGGCGGCGUGCUUAACACAUGCAAGUCGAACGGUAAGGCCCUUCGGGGUACACGAGUGGCGAACGGGUGAGUAACACGUGGGUGAUCUGCCCUGCACUUUGGGAUAAGCCUGGGAAACUGGGUCUAAUACCGAAUAGGACUCCGGACUGCAUGGUCUGGGGUGGAAAGCUUUUGCGGUGUGGGAUGGGCCCUCGGCCGAUCAGCUUGUUGGUGGGGUGAUGGCCUACCAAGGCGACGACGGGUAGCCGGCCUGAGAGGGUGACCGGCCACACUGGGACUGAGAUACGGCCCAGACUCCUACGGGAGGCAGCAGUGGGGAAUAUUGCACAAUGGGCGCAAGCCUGAUGCAGCGACGCCGCGUGAGGGAUGACGGCCUUCGGGUUGUAAACCUCUUUCAGCACAGACGAAGCGCAAGUGACGGUAUGUGCAGAAGAAGGACCGGCCAACUACGUGCCAGCAGCCGCGGUAA
rnacentral:rRNA from 1 species